CAAUAGCGUAUAUUAAAGUUGUUGCAGUUAAAAAGCUCGUAGUUGAAUUUCUGUACAGUCCCGGUUCUGGCUUCGGUCAAGCCGUGGAUUGUGCAUCCGCUUGCAAAUCUAGCUCGGCCUUCACUGGUCGACUAGGGGAGUAAGCCCUUUACUUUGAAAAAAUUAGAGUGUUUCAGGCAGGCAAUGGCUCGAAUACAUUAGCAUGGAAUAAUAAAAUAGGACUUUGGUUCUAUUUUGUUGGUUUCUAGGACCGAAGUAAUGAUUAAUAGGGACGAGUUGGGGGCGAUUCAUAUUCCAAUGUCAGAGGUGGAAAUUACUUUGGAUUAUCGGAAGAUGAACUUCUGCGAAAGACAUCUGCCAAGGAUGUUUUUCUAUUGAUCAAGAACGAAAGUUAGGGGAGUCGAAGAUGAUCAGAUACCGU
rnacentral:rRNA from 1 species